rnacentral:rRNA from 1 species
CCUACGGGAGGCAGCAGUAGGGAAUAUUGCUCAAUGGGGGAAACCCUGAAGCAGCAACGCCGCGUGGAGGAUGAAGGUUUUCGGAUUGUAAACUCCUUUUGUUAGAGAAGAUAAUGACGGUAUCUAACGAAUAAGCACCGGCUAACACCGUGCCAGCAGCCGCGGUAAUACGGAGGGUGCAAGCGUUACUCGGAAUCACUGGGCGUAAAGGGCGCGUAGGCGGGAUAGCAAGUCAGAUGUGAAAUCCUAUGGCUUAACCAUAGAACUGCAUUUGAAACUGUUAUUCUAGAGUAUGGGAGAGGUAGGUGGAAUGCUUGGUGUAGGGGUAAAAUCCGUAGAGAUCAAGAGGAAUACUCAUUGCGAAGGCGACCUGCUAGAACAUAACUGACGCUGAUGCGCGAAAGCGUGGGGAGCAAACAGGAUUAGAUACCCGGGUAGUC